rnacentral:rRNA from 1 species
UGGGGAAUAUUGCACAAUGGGCGAAAGCCUGAUGCAGCAACGCCGCGUGAGUGAUGAAGGCCUUCGGGUUGUAAAGCUCUGUCUUUUGGGACGAUAAUGACGGUACCAAAGGAGGAAGCCACGGCUAACUACGUGCCAGCAGCCGCGGUAAUACGUAGGUGGCAAGCGUUGUCCGGAUUUACUGGGCGUAAAGGAUGCGUAGGCGGAUUUUUAAGCGAGAUGUGAAAUACCCGGGCUUAACUUGGGUGCUGCAUUUCAAACUGGGAAUCUAGAGUGCGGGAGAGGAGAAUGGAAUUCCUAGUGUAGCGGUGAAAGUGCGUAGAGAUUAGGAAGAACACCAGUGGCGAAGGCGAUUCUCUGGACCGUAACUGACGCUGAGGCAUGAAAGCGUGGGUAGCAAACAGGAUUAGAUACCCUGGUAGUCCACGCCGUAAACGAUGAGUACUAGGUGUAGGAGGUAUCGACCCCUUCUGUGCCGCAGUUAACACAAUAAGUACUCCGCCUGGGAAGUACGAUCGCAAGAUUAAAA